UGUUGUUGUUUGUUUUUGUUUUUCAAAACAAAAUACUUUUAUGUGGUCCAUUGGAGCCUGAAUCUGGAAACCACUCACGGAGAAUUUUAUGUUUAUAUUACAGGUAUAUAUUACAGGUAAGGGGACAGACAAUUGAUAAAAUCAUCUCAGUGUCAGAAGAGCUUGACCAUAUUUACAGGGUCAAAACUAUCCACAGCUCAGAGGAAAAGGAGGCUCAAAGGAGAAAGGGGUUUGUUUCUCUAAGUGUAAAAACCCCAUAACCCCUAUGGGAUGUGAGAGCUGUGGGCUAGCUGGCUUUCUGCACCUGGGGCCUGCAGGCCUGUGGGACUGGCUGAGGUACUCAGAAAGCUGGUCUCAGAUGUCCACAUGGCAGAUGAGGACUCUGCCCCCGACAAGCAACUGAGAUAAACACGGGACAGAUACAUGGGAAGUUUGCAGCCUGCAACCUCAAAGAGAGCCUUCACCAGAACUCGAGCAUGCUGGCACCCUAUUCUCAGAUCCACAGCCUCCAGAAACAUGAGAAAUAAAUUUCUACUUUUACUGGCUUUGUCUUGGAAAAUCCUGUGGCUGGCAUGGUGACGGGGCCCACCAGAAACACAGGGCAAUUGUGGCUGGUGCAGUGCUGUCAAAAUCCUGGAGCCUGCUGUGGCAGGUAAGGCACUGGAGCAGGAUAGAAGCUGAGACAGAUGUGCAGCCUGUGUGGCCCGGGGGCACACAAGAAAUCUGGGGCAGCUGCAGCUGGGGUGGCACUGCCAGAAGCCUGGGGCCCACUAUGGUAGGCACAGAGCUGGGACAGACUAGAAGCCUGGGUCCACUGAUAUUGGCAAAGUGGUAGUGUGGACCAAAUACUGAGUUCACCAAGCAAGCCUUAAGCAUGGGGCUGUGUGGUCCCAUCUAGCACUGGGGCAGGCCUAAAGGCCCAGUCUAUAGGUACCAGCCUGGAAUAAGACCAGGAAGAUCUGCCUAGUGCUGGGUGGGCCCAGUUUUUGGGUCCAAUGCAAAGUUCUCUGCUCACUUUCUUCUCUUUCCUUCAAAUUGACAGUAUCUCUCUCCAUGUUGUGCUGCCUGGGUUUGGAGGUAAUGCAGGUGAUGUAAACUUGUUUUCCUACCAUCUUCAAUGAGUCUUUUCUAAUUAUUGUGCUACAACCAAAUACUAUAAACUCUCACCUGGUUUCCUCAGCUCUUACAAAGGUAUUUUCAUGCAUGAAUUAUUGUUCAAAUUGAUGUUCCUACAAGGGGACAACUGUUGGAGAGUCCUACUCUGCCAUCUUGCUCUAUAUACCGUCUCUAAAAUUCUCAGUGCUGAAGUUUUCUUCACUUCAUUCACUGAACACAUAGAUUAAAAAUUUUCAACUAAUUUUGAAUUAAAUACAAGCACAAUGUAUAGGACUCAUUUAUGAAAGUUUAAUGCCAUUGUAGGACACUUACUUAAAGGACACUUUAGGUUUACUUAAAGAAUAGUCUCAAAAUUCAGAAUAUUUUAAAAGUCAAUGAGUGACAAGCAGAGCAAAGAUAAAAAGCUCAUAUUUCCAUGCUACUGUAUUUUUUAUACUUAAUGUCAGCAUCUUCACAAAAUUUUCUGUGAAAAAAAAGAUACCUCUGUUUAAACAUCAUUAGACAAGUGAGCUAUGUAUGCCUUUUUUUCCAUUGUAAGCAAGAGUAUAAUAAAUGCAUUUGUAUCACCUCUGACACAUCUAUCUUCACAGGCCAUCUGAUCUCAUUGUUUCUGCACACUCUUGGAAACAGCACGAGGUUAAAGGCUGGAGUCUUUAGUGCUUUGUGUUCCAGGAUGCCAAGAAUAUGAGUGCAGGCCAUCAUCCUAAUUGUCUUUGAUGCUUAGUUGGGUAUCUCUAAAGUGAUCUUUACAUCUCUUUGCAAGCAACAAUAUAGUUUGUCACCAAUAUGGAGAAGAGAAGCAUGGUAUCUGAUCUUGGUUUCUCCUCUUCCUCUCGUAAUCACUGGGACUGGCAGAAAUGGGCUUUCUCCUCUCUCUCUUUCUAUAUGAUCAUUAUUUGCCUUAAACAAAAUGUUAUGACCAAGUCAUUCAGGCUUUCAAGUUAAAGGAGGAGAUUAGGGAUUUUAGACAGGCUUUCAAGUUAAAGGAGGAGAUUAGGGAUUUUAGAAGACAUUUCUCUCUCUUAAUGAGCCUUGCUUUAAAUUUAAUUAUCUUCCUGUGCACAUAAAAUUCCUAUUUUGUUUGCCAAAAACUGAGUACUAUCUUUUUCACUCUGCCUUCAUGUUAUUACAAUUCUAUUUUCCCUCUGAACUUCCCUGCCCUGCAUCCUCAGAAAGAGUAGAUAGAUGCUUCAGGCUGACUUGGAUGAAAAUCAGAUACAUGGAAACACAAAAGAGACAAGCAUAUUUAUAUAUUUCCAAAAUUAUUACCCCACCUUACUAUACAUUACUAAAGAAAUAAUUAGUGGUUCAGAAGUGUGCAUGUACAAACACUGUCAUCUGAUAAUAUUGACAAAUUAAAUUACAAAAGAAUUUUCUAUUGCUACAAAUUAUAUAUGAGAGCUCCAGCUUCACUGAAUCCUUGUAAGGAUUAUCAUUUUGAAAAUGUUUACUAACUUCCCAAUCAAAGGAUAAUCAAGGAAUAACAUUUAGAUUUUCUUCAUUUUAUUUUUUCUCCUAACCUUUCUAAUUCUGCAAGAGAGUAAGCUUGUACUCAUAAGAAAUACAAUAUAAGAAUCUGAUGUAGGGAUGUAACAUCACAAGGUAUCAAGCACAGUCAGUACUGUCAACUUAUUAUUAUUGAGAUCAACAGUUUUCCAAUUUCACUUUUAUUUCAAAGCAGGAUUUGGUUGUUGGGACUACUACCCUAGUUAUUUAGUAAUGCAAUUAUUUUUGAGAUUGGCUUAGCUUUUUCAGAUUUCCAAAAUAGUUGCUGUUUUACAUAUAUGAUUUUAAUUUUCCAUGAAUGCUAUAAAAUGUUAUUAAUUCCAUUUUACAGCCAAAGUGAGACCCAGAGGUGCUAAGUGAUUUGCUUGAAGUGUUUGGAAAGUACAGAGCAGUGUAGUAGAAGGUCAGUCUGCAUUGGAAUUCCGAGUCUACUACUGACUGGUUUUGUGAUUUCAGUGAAUUUCUUAACCUCCUCAAGCUGCUUCCUUAUCUGCCCAUCGAAAUUUGCAAAGUUCACUUCAGGGUUGUAAUAGGAAACAAAUAUAAGGAAAUUUUCAUUCAGACCUAAAAGGUAACAGCAAAUAAAUGAAUGAUUAUUCUCAUUGAAUAACAGUGCUGUGUUCUUUCUCUUCUAUUCCACUGUUUAAUUUUCUUUUGAAUAUAUCUUUUUAAAUAUAGAACAACCACUUACUAUUUUACAUAUUAUUGUGUCAAGGAUGAGCAGAGAUAAAGAGAAAUUGAACCAAAAGGAAUUUUACAUGUGAAUUUACCUUACAAAAUGAAAGAAUCAUAAAAUGCAAGAACUGCAUUAACAGUACAUAUUUAUGACCUACAGAAAAACAGGUGUGCAAGAGAAAAGGAAUGGCACAGAGCUUCACAGACAGUAAAUUACAGAUCCGUAUUUCUCUUAGAGUCCUGGACUCUGCAAUCAGAUCCAGGAUUUUUAACAAAAUGUGCAUUUUAUCCUUCUCAAAUUGGGCAAGAAGAACCAUAGAUUUUACCAACGAGAAAUGAGGAGCCCUGCCAAAAUCCCAGCCGACCCUGCACACUUACUGGGAACGUACUGAGUGCCAGGGCUUGUGCCAAGUGCUCUGGGGGAUAGAGUUGAGUAAGUCAUGGUCAUCGCUCAUUCAUUUAGUGGAAAAAGCAGGCACACACACAAGUAACUUGAUUCCAAGGCAGACCGCGAUAAGUGUUAUCUUAGAUCACUGGAGGAGACAGGUCACACGACUGGAAUAGCAUGAAGUCAGGCCUGAGGCUGAGGGCAUGCUGUUAUUUAGGAACCCUAUCAGGUUCAUCUCACAGCUUGGCAGUGGUCCAAAAACCCUGUAGUUUCUUGUCCUGGGUGUGCUGGGUCAUAGGAUGCUUCCAUCCACCUAUCCUCGAAUCUACUGUGAAGGCUGCUGGAGUCUGAGAAUGUGUAAAGACAGAUGAGACAGAGAGAUUUGUUUCCCUUCUUAACAUACAUUAUACAAUUUUUAAAAUACAUUGACCUAGAAUGACUAGUACUAUAGAAAAACGGCCUGCCAAAGAUUCCCUCUUUUCUUUCCUUGCAUGUCAUGGAAUGUCCACAGUUUUUUAUCCAUUCAGGAAGUGAACAGAACCAAAAAUGCUAUAUUUGUUUAUUUUUCCAGGAUAAUUCUUAUCAAAUUCAGCUUUGCCCAAGCUGUUUGCUUGUCUGAAGCCCAACAAGAACUGUGAGGUGCUAGAGAACACAGUCCUUCUGAUCCAGCUCUGUCUCAGAAACUUUACAAAAUUAAAUACUCAAUCAACUUCAGUUGUAUUAUUUUUAACCUUCUGCUAUUUUUAAGUAGUUUCCCAUUUUCCAACUUGCUGGUAACUUUCCCAAAAUGCCCUCAAACUUAGAGCUAAAAGUAAAACCGAAGAAAUGAGACAUAUCUUGACUAAUAUUAUAUCAUGUUAAAUUGAUUGCAAAAAAGUAGGGUGAAGCGAGGAAUUCACUUAAAUGAAAAAGGAAAGAACACUUGACUGGAAGCCCAGCAGUCUGGGCUUUGCUCCGGGCUCCGUAUAACAUCUGGGCGAGCUGUUUCCCUCCCUGAGUCCCAAGGUCCCCAACCGUCUAGCAGGAGGGUUGAAUAGAUUUAUUGUCAAGACUUCGUUUUCAGUGACCUGUCAUCUACAUUAUGGUUAUUCUUUAUACUAUCUACAACAAUAAUAAUAAUGGUAUAAUAAUUUAUAACUUACAAAGCAUCGGUAGUUGCAUCACUCUCUAGUAAAUAUGUAUGAAACUAUGCUUUCAGCACUACAAUUUUAUAAUUAGAACCUGAUUACAUUUAAGAGGGGGCAAAGUGAAGUUGAGGGGGCCCCCACUCCAGGCCCUCUCUGCGGUGGAGUUGACCUCUGGGACUUACUAUGGCCUAGAUCAGAUUCCUGUGGUCACACUCAGAUCCAAACCAACUGUUGGAGCUUUGUAACGGACUACUCACUAGUGCUAAUGAAUCCAAGAAACCCACGAAUUUGUGCUUCUAUAUUUGCAGGCCAGGUCUACCAACCAGAGAGUCAGGAAGGCUUUAGGCAGACAAGCCCUUCCUCUUUACUCACUCUUCACUGCCUACCUCUAAUGCACACGUAACAGCUUCAGUAACCACCUAACGGUGAUGAUCACCAACUUAGGAAUUUUUAACCAGAACUGGGAUUUCCGUUUGUAGCUUCCUUUUCUAACCAGCUAAUCAACAUCCCCGCUGUGUUCUGGAAGAUCAGUUUGACCCACACCAAUGAAAUCACUUUCCAUCAUAAAAUACUUCCUCCAUACCUCCCUGGCUUUCCCAACUCUGCCAACAUUUGCCUUGUUAACUUGGCUCAAAAAUUCCAGCUCAUCUCUGAUUUCUUUUCUUGGACUCCCCUUGUUAAUCAAUGGCCAAGUCCAGCAGCAUUUCUGUUCACAAUACCCACCCCUAUAAUGCUUAGGCCUCAUCAUCACUAACUUGGACAAAUACCGUAACUUUUUAAAGUGUGCUCCCUGGUCUAUUUCACCGUGCACAUGCUCCUUUCUAAUCAUGCCACACCUCUAAUCAGAAACACCUAAAGGAUCUCUAGUAUUUACCAUGUAGUCCAUUUUUAAAAUGCUGGUGUUCAAGGCUUUCUAUAGUUUGACACAAUCAGCCAUUUAAACUGAAUGUCCCGCCAUUAAGUGAAACUGCACAUUAUUAUCCAAAAAUGGUCCCCACCCAUGCAGAUACCUUUGUAACACUGCUAACUUGAGUAGUGUGUCCUGCCCUAUUUCUCCACACCUUUCUUAUUAAAACAUGAUUCCAUUCUCCAAGGUGCAGCUUAAAUGACCUCUUUUUUAUUACACGUCUCUUAGGCCAGAAGUAUGUUCCUUGUCUUCUGAACCCCAUAACCCUUUUGCCUUUUGCCUUCUAAGGAAGGGCACGGAUCGUAUCCUAUCUCAACAUUUGGUCAGUUGUAUACCUAUUUGUUAUUGCUCCUCUGCUAGGCUCUCAGUAAAAAUAAUGCAAGGUCUGAACUUUGCCCAUCAGUAUGCUCCAUGGUGGAUGAGACUGCAUUGAGUGGGACGAGCAGAACUCCAAGGGUGGUUUUCAGUAAAGCUGAAAGAAACUGGACAGAAGAUCAGCAGCCAAAUAGCUUUGCCAAGCCAGUUUCUGAGGCUCUCGUGUACACGUGGAAGCACAGUUUCAGUGUUGUAUUUGCUCUCCCAGGCUGCAAGUCAUUACGCAUCACUGGGGAACACAAGACAGCAAAUAGCUCAGUAGAGUUUAGAUUCAGUGGGGGUCCAGUGGGGGAUUGAAAAGAAAAGGAGCGAGGAAGAGAAGAAAUAAACUAAGAGUUUCGUUGUCUUUUAUCUAUGAUUUAUCCUAUGAUUUCAGCUGGGAGGAUGACAGUUAUAACAUAGCUACCCUUCACUGACUUUCACAGAAUGACUGUUUUUAUGAUAAUCAGAAAAUUCCAGAACUGGGUGGAGGUUUAAGAAAAAUACAAUUCAGAGCAAGGAACUAACUUAUUCCAAGCUAUAAAUUUCAGUCAGCCACUGAACCCAGAUUGAGACUAUUUAUCCUGAUAUCUAGUGUAUCUACUAUUAUUCUUCUAGCCAUCUUUUUACUGACUUAACUUCUCAAGAAUUCAGAAUGUCAACAUGUCUAUGUUUAAGUAUUAUUAAUUUUGGCACAAUGGGUGACAGAUUGGAUCUCCAAAGCUCACUCCAGGGUCUCCCUUUACCAGUGUGAAAUCACUUAAGACUUUGCUGUUUGUAUGACUGUCACCCAGGCAGGAACUCUAAGAUCCUGAAGAAAGUAGUCCCUUUGACUCACCUGUUUUUCUCAUAGCACCUUCAAGGUGAUUUACCUUAUUAAAUAUUCAAUCAGUGAAUUGAAUUGAUAAAAACCUCUACUGUCCCACAGCUCUUCCCUAUGUUCUAGCUCUUACUAUAGUCACAAAAGUGUUUCUAAAUUGACCUUACCAGAUAAAAGUCCUCCUGCCAAAGAAUUAAUUUGCCCUAUGUACACCUAGCAGUCGUUUAACCCCAUAGCACAAUAAUCUGGCUCCUCAACCCCCAAACCCAGGCUUUUGGACACAAAGUGAGUACACUGUGCGCAGCCAGCCCUCAGCACCGGGACAAUGUGUGCCCUGUGCCAGACCUGGCCCUCCACCCAGGCAGCUGCACCCUGAGCAUGAGGACCAGGGGCAUGGCCACCUGGCGCUUAUCCUCUCGUUCCACCUGACAGGAAGAUGGUUUAAGCUUUCUCUUGCACAAUGCACUGGAGGUGGAGGAGAGAG
rnacentral:lncRNA from 1 species